UUGGAUGGUAUUCCUGGAUACUGCAUCAAGCAAAUUGUAGUUCUUCCUCUUCUCUGGGGUCCAUUUUCCAGGUUCAAUCCUGCAUGCACAAGGUAAUUUAAUUAUAUUACUAUUGUAAUACCCAUGAUUUCAACUUUACAAGUUCAAUUUUUAAUAUUCCAGGAUAAUACUCAUAAUUAAAGGUACUCACGCAACAGCGAAGAAGGAGUAUCCGGCCAAGUGAAAAGAUUGUACACUCUUUUCAUGGUUCUCAAAGAUGAUCUCCACAAAGUUACGGUAAGUGACUUUAACUACAUUGGGUGCGAGUGUGAUCUUCUCUUCUGCUUUCCCAGCUGGAGGUUCAUAUUCAUCCUUCAUAAGGUCAUAUUUGAAGAUCUUAUCUUCAACACCAUAGUAUUCAACCAACUUAAUUGGGGUUGUAGGGUUCACAUGUGAGACACCAUUGAUGGCAUAUCGGAGCUUUCCGUCCACAGUCCCGGCUGUAUUCACAAGUUUGAUGGUGCGUGUAAUGUUGAUUUGGCCGUAGUGGUAUGAUCCUUGUGGAUUAGGUCUAGCUGCACUUGCCG
rnacentral:lncRNA from 1 species